rnacentral:rRNA from 1 species
UGGUGGAGUGAUUUGUCUGCUUAAUUGCGAUAACGAACGAGACCUUCAUCGUUAAAUAGCCCGGCUCGCUUUGGCGUGUCGCUGGCUUCUUAGCGAGACUUUUGGCUUAAGCCAAAGGAAGUUGGAGGCAAUAACA